UCCUUAAUAAGUGUUCCAUGCACUUUGCCUUACAGCCCCGCACCUUCGCCACCGAGGAAUCGAAGGUUGCGUUCACGCUGACUCUACUUUCCGGCAAGGCCGCCUUAUGGGGGACGGCGGUGUGGGAGAACCAACAUCCGUGUUGCGCAUCGUUGCCCCCCACACUCAACGGUCUCAUCGACCCAGCCCUACGAGUUGAUGCCUGGAUUAAUCGUCUGGGUCGACACACCAGUCCUACACGCCAUCCCAUCUCUCCGGAGAGGGGCCGCUCGAGUCGAGAGAAUGCGGUCGGUCCCGUCGACGACCACGAACCCAUGCAGGUGGGUAGAGCUCGGCUGUCCCGGAAGGAGAGAGAGCGGCGGAGGUCCCAAGGACUAUGCUUGUACUGUGGAGGCUCAGGACAUACCAUCUAUUCCUGCCCGGUAAAAGAGCCAGCCCGGUAGUAAGGAUGAGGCUACUCUCGGGUGGGAUCUCCGCUGGGAAGUCCUCAACAACAUCCUCGACUCUCCUUCCGGUGAAACUGCGGUGGGGGAAUCACACACACGACUGUCACGACCUUCUGGACUCCAUAGCCGAAGGUAAUUUCAUCGAAUCACUCCUUGCACGUCACCUAAACAUUCCGUCCGGCCUGUGUCUCUUCCCAUCCAGGUCAAUGCACUCAAUGGCCAGGAACUGCCUCACGUCACCCAUUACACUGAACCCAUCACUCUGCUCACUUCAGGCAAUCAUUGCGAAACCAUAUCCUUUUUCCUCAUGGACUCCCCUGUAGCUCCCAUUGUCUUAGGUCACCCCUGGUUAAUGAAACAUAAUCCACGAGUGGAUUGGGGUUCCAACACUGUCACAUUGUGGAGUGAAAGUUGUCAUGAGUCUUGUCUGGUUUCUGCUUGUCCUGUUGUCCCUGUCUCUGUUUUGCAGAGAGAGAACAUGGUAUUAUCAAACGUGCCCGAAGAGUACCUGGACCUGAAGGAAGUGUUCAGUAAGUCCCGUGCUGCUUCUCUGCCUCCGCAUCGUCCCUACGACUGUGCCAUAGACUUAGUGCCAGAGAAGUCUCCGCCUAAAGUUCCUGUGCCAUCCUCUCCUGCUGCCAACUCACCAUCACCAUCUGGAUUACUCACCGUCUCCCACCAUCUUGGAUUGUCGUCUUCCCAGCGUUGUUUGUAUUCUUGUUUGUUUUGUUUGGUUCUCAUUAAACUGUUUCAUACUCGCACUUGUUUCCAGCUUCUCCUUCACCCAGUCGUCACAUAUCCAAAGCAACUUACAGUGCAUUCAGUCUAUAAUUAUUAUUUUUUUUUUACCAAUAUGUGUGUUCCCCGGGAAUCGAACCCAUAA
ensembl:lncRNA